AGACGGACGGCUGCUGUCGAUAUGGCGACAGCUGCCCUGUGGCCGCCCCUGCACCCAGAUGGCGCCUGGCCUGGCCGCAGCAUCCUGGAGUCUGAGGCCAGCACCUGCGUCUCCCUGAAGCCCCUCAGAGCCUGCCCUGCAGUGCUGCUGCCCUCGUCUACCAGGUAAGGAGCCGAGGCCCAGCGGGCGGCCCCUCCCGGGACACACAGGGAGAGGUGGCAGUGGAGAGAGAUGGGGCCGGUGGUCGGCCCCCUGUCCGCCUGGGAUGAAUGGCACCUGGCUAGGACGACCUGAGAAGUGGCUGGACGUGGUGUCGCCACCGCAGCCUCGAGGGACUUUCACCGGGGUGCCCGCUGCCCGUUGGCCCCGAACCUCUCUCCAGGCCAGCGCAGGGACCGUCACCCCCACAGCAAUGACAGACAUCUGUAAACCCAGGCGGGGGCACAGCACAGGGCCAGAGAGACACCACCCUCCCCACGGGGCGGCUGCAGAGAAGCAAACACACAAACCACACAGAGUGGUCACACGGAGCCCCAGGAGUCACACAGGGCGAAGGAGGGGGGACUGCGGGCGGGGGCUGCACACCCUGCAGCCCGGAGGAGAAGCCGCGGUGGGGGGUGUGGGCGGGUCAGAGGCAUAGCGUAUGGGGGCUGCAGCCACCUGACACUGCCCAGUCCCAUCGGAGCUUUGAGCCCCCUCCCAGGCCCUGGAACCCCCCACUGUGGCCCAGAGAGAGAACAGGGGAGACUUGGGGGAGGGGAGGGAGGGGUGUCCAUGGAGAAGGGUGGGCUGGGAAUGGUGACGUCUGUGGGUCCAAGGCCAUGGGCACGUGUGUACCUCGUAUAUUGUUUUUGUAUUUUUCUGCAUGUUUGAAAUCAUUCAUAAAAAUGAUACUCCGGCUGGGUGCAGUGGCUCAAGCCUGUCAUCCCAGCACUGUGGGAGGCCGAGGCGGGUGGAUCACCUGAGGACAGGAGUUCAAGACCAGCCUGGGCAACAUGGUGAGACCCCCGUCUCUACAAAAAAUACAAAAAUUAGCCAAGUGUGGUGGCGGGCGCCUGUAGUCCCAGCCACUGAGGAGGCUGAGUCAGGAGGAUCAUUUGAGCCCAGGAGGUUGAGGCUGCAGUGAGCUGUGAUUACACCACUGCACGCCAGCCUGGGUGACUGAGCAAGACCCUGUCUCAAAAAGAAGAUCAAUGCCUCCCCUGACGAGUGGGGCGGAGGAAGUCCGGAUGUUUGGGUUGACCCUGGAGCUGUGUGACUCUGGGGGUGGCCAGCAGAGAAUCAAAGUGUCCCCUAGGAUCCAGACCAGGGACAAGCCCCUCCCUGGGGGACCUCGGCCUGAGCAGGGGUGGAGCCGGCUGUGGUGACCUCAGCAUGUGCCGUCUGGAGCCCUGGGGCUGCUCAGCUGACCGGCCCUGACCCUGGAGGCACCUCAGAGCACAGGACGACCCCAGCAGCUGCCAGGAAAGGCCACAGUCCUGGCUGGGGGCUGUGGGGCUGGGCCAAGGCCACUGAAAUCUGGUAGACAAGGAAAGGAGAGCUGGGGACGGGGGAGCCCAGAACACAAGGCUGACAGCACAAAGAGAAAGCCCUCUGUCCCCAACAAACCUAGAAAUCAACAUCCCCAAGCUCGCAUGGCCCAAACACACUAAGAAAUACGACUCAGAAAAUCAACAGGGCCAGUGGACCCAUGGAUCCAUCUCAGGGAGAUAAAAAUAACGAGCAAACAGGUACGCUUAGGCUAUGUUUAAAUAUGUGCAGGAUCCACAGAGACAGCAUGGAUAAAAUGUUAGGAAAUACAUUUGGCUUCUGUCUAAGGAGUAAAAUGAACAGGCAUCUAUUUUUAAAAAUUACAAAUCCUGGAUGUAAAAAAUACAAUCAUUUAAGUGGAAAAAAACACUACAAAAGUGGUCAGAACCAACUCCAGUGUGGACAGCACUGAAGAGAGAAUUGGUGAAUGGGAAGAGGGUUGAAAGAUUCACUGGAGCAGGGUGCUGGCACAAGGUCCAGAGAGGGCUCUGUGGGGUGGGCAGGGGGAGAGCAUGGCUGGGCUCCCCCAGAACUGGCGACAGGAUCCCUUCUGGGAGCGCACCUGUCCCAAGCAGCAUAAAGGAAUGAAAGAGCAUCCCCAUCAAGCUGCGGCAUCUGGGCAGGGACGCCAGCCAGAGAGACACCAGCCAGAGAGACAGGACGGAUUCCCACAGGCAGGAGCCAGAGUGCAGCAGAAUCCUCAGCAGGGACGG
rnacentral:lncRNA from 1 species